rnacentral:lncRNA from 1 species
AGAGGAAAACACGUCUAACUCCUUACUUCCUGAGACUCUCAAAAUGCCAGUAUGCUUCACUGCCCCUCCCUGCUGUCUUUUUGGUACUGUUGCCUUUUGAUUCUAGGCUUUGGAUGCUAGAAUCCUCCCAUCUGAGUUGCCUUAUCAGUUCUUUACAAUCUACCUAUGGCUAUUAUCACUUAAAGCACAAAUUUGAAGGAGACAAAUAUGAUAAGCCCAAGGGAAUUUGUAUCACGCGGCCUCAAGCAUUAAAAGUAAGUCUACAUACAGGAAUUGUACGAUAUGCACAGCCUAAUUAUCACCAUUGGCAUUUGGUGAGUUGGGACCCAGUACACUUCUGAAUUAUAUUAUUUUGGAAACCAGAAGUUAGACAAAAUAAAUGAUGUCAAAAAACAGUAAUGUACAUGUAAUAUCUAUACAAAUAGAGCAUCUAUGUGAAAUGCCCCAGCAAGCCAGGUGUUUCUUCCUUGGAGCCAUAAACACUAGCUCUAAACACUGUCACGUUAGACCCAAACUCACGUUUUGUUGGCAUACUCCCUUCACUGUAGGAAUUAACUCUGAAGUGGUAUUUUUUUCCCAAAUAUUUUUUGUGAAAAUGGUUAUGUUGUUUUUUUGUCCAUUUUGUUUUUAACUAUAAUAAAAGCCUAAUCGC